rnacentral:rRNA from 1 species
CAUGCAAGUCGAACGAAAUAUUUAGCACUUGUGUUAAAUAAUUUAGUGGCGAACGGGUGAGUAACACGUAAGAACUUACCCCUAGACGAGGUACAACAGUUGGAAACGACUGCUAAUACCUCAUAUUACCGGAAGGUGAAAGAAGCAAUUCGUCUAGGGCGAGGCUUGCGUCUGAUUAGCUUGUUGGUGAGGUAAAGGCUUACCAAGGCGACGAUCAGUAGUUGGUCUUAGAGGAUGAUCAGCCACAUUGGGACUGAGACACGGCCCAAACUUUUACGGGAGGCAGCAGUAAGGAAUUUUCCGCAAUGGGCGCAAGCCUGACGGAGCAAUACCGCGUGAAGGAUGACGGCCCAUGGGUAGUAAACUUCUUUUCUUGGAGAAGAAUUCUGACGGUAUCCAAGGAAUAAGCAUCGGCUAACUCCGUGCCAGCAGCCGCGGUAAGACGGGGGAUGCAAGCGUUAUUCGGAAUUAUUGGGCGUAAAGCGUCUGUAGGUGGUAAGGAAAGUGUAAUGUUAAAGAUCAGGGCUCAACCCUGGGAAAGCAUUGCAAACUAUCUUACUUGAGUUCGGUAGGGGCAGAGAGAAUUCCCAGUGUAGCGGUGAAAUGCGUAGAUAUUGGGAGGAAGACCAGUGGCGAAGGCGUUCUGCUGGGCCGUAACUGACA